rnacentral:rRNA from 1 species
UUUUUAAUAUGUUUUUUGCUCCACGCGAGAAACAUGCAUACGUGCGCGGAAUAUAUUGAGCGCGGUUCCUUAUUCUCGACGUUUUCGGCAAGUUUUAGCUUGCCGAUCAUACCAGCACUAAAGCACCGGAUCCCAUCAAAACUCGGAAGUUAAGCGUGUUGGGCGAGAGUAGUACUAGGAUGGGUGACCUCCUGGGAAGUCCUUGUGUUGCAUUCCC